AUGGAUGAGGAGCGCGCCCUCUACAUCGUCCGGGCCGGCGAAGCAGGGGCUAUCGAGCGGGUCCUGAGGGAUUACAGCGACAAGCAUAGGGCUACUUUCAAAUUUGAAUCAACAGAUGAAGAUAAAAGAAAGAAACUCUGUGAAGGCAUAUUUAAAGUCCUUAUAAAGGACAUCCCAACAACAUGUCAAGUGUCCUGCCUGGAAGUACUCCGCAUUCUCUCCAGAGACAAAAAGGUUUUAGUUCCUGUAACAACUAAGGAAAAUAUGCAGAUACUGCUGCGGCUAGCCAAGCUAAAUGAGUUAGAUGAUUCUUUGGAGAAAGUAUCAGAGUUCCCAGUUAUUGUGGAGUCAUUAAAAUGUCUGUGUAAUAUAGUGUUCAACAGUCAGAUGGCACAGCAGCUCAGCCUGGAACUUAAUCUUGCUGCAAAGCUCUGUAACCUCCUGAGAAAGUGCAAGGACCGGAAAUUUAUCAAUGACAUUAAGUGCUUUGACUUGCGCUUGCUCUUCCUUCUGUCACUUUUGCACACCGACAUCAGGUCACAAUUGCGCUAUGAGCUCCAGGGACUACCGCUGCUAACCCAGAUCUUGGAAAGUGCCUUUAGCAUCAAGUGGACCGAUGAGUAUGAAUCGGCCAUAGACCAUAAUGGACCUCCUCUCUCACCUCAGGAGACGGACUGUGCCAUUGAGGCCCUCAAAGCUCUCUUCAAUGUGACGGUAGACAGUUGGAAGGUGCAUAAAGAGAGUGAUUCUCAUCAGUUCCGUGUAAUGGCAGCUGUCCUUCGUCAUUGUUUACUAAUCGUAGGUCCAACUGAAGACAAAACAGAAGAGCUACACAGCAAUGCAGUCAACCUUUUAAGCAAUGUUCCGGUCUCUUGUUUGGAUGUUCUCAUUUGUCCGUUAACCCAUGAAGAAACAGCCCAAGAGGCAACGACUGUAGAUGAACUGCCCAGUAAUAAAACAGCUGAGAAAGAAACAGUUUUGAAAAACAAUACCAUGGUAUACAAUGGUAUGAAUAUGGAGGCCAUUCAUGUUUUACUCAAUUUUAUGGAGAAGAGAAUAGACAAGGGAAGCAGCUAUAGAGAGGGUCUAACUCCAGUUCUCAGCUUAUUAACUGAAUGUUCCCGAGCCCAUCGAAACAUCCGAAAAUUUCUCAAAGAUCAGGUUUUACCACCGUUGAGGGAUGUGACAAAUCGACCUGAAGUUGGCUCAACUGUGAGAAAUAAGCUGGUGCGCCUCAUGACACAUGUUGACCUUGGAGUCAAGCAAAUUGCUGCUGAAUUCCUUUUUGUCCUUUGCAAAGAGAGAGUGGAUAGUCUGCUGAAAUACACUGGCUAUGGGAAUGCUGCAGGACUGUUGGCGGCCAGGGGCCUCUUGGCUGGAGGAAGAGGAGAUAAUUGGUACUCAGAGGACGAGGACACAGACACUGAAGAAUACAAAAAUGCAAAACCAAACAUUAAUCUUAUCACUGGUCAUUUAGAGGAACCAAUGCCAAACCCCAUAGAUGAAAUGACAGAAGAACAAAAAGAAUAUGAAGCCAUGAAACUUGUCAACAUGCUUGAUAAACUUUCCAGGUAUUGUAUUCCCAUCCAUUUUUUGCUUGGUUUCUAAAAAUGGUCUAUUUCUUUGUCUCUCUCACUGAGAGUUACCAUAGAACAGCAACUCUGGAAAUCCAUGUUGAUUGGAAUAGGGUGGCCCAGGCAGCAGUAGUUCAGAUAGCUCUUGGCUACCAUGGUUUUUCUACAUGUGCCGCUUCUGGAUGUGCAUUCCUAAACAUUUAAACUCUCAAAGCUAAGAUAGUAACUACCAGAGCACUGUAAUAAUUAACCAACUAACCUCCCUGUCUUCAAAAAGAUGCUGUGAGUUAGAUUCAGUGAUUUUGCUGCUGCUUGUAUUUUUGUUUUAGCCUGUUUUAGUUUUUGUUUCAAAUCAUGAUGCUUUUAUUUUUUCAUUUUUGAUGUGUAAGUUUGCAAUUACGCCUUUUUGGGUUGCUGCUGAAACCAAGAAUUCUAAAAUGUCAUGCACCCAAUAAGAAAAAGUGAAAAGAAAUAGCUCACAUGAAGGAUUUUCUGAAAACAGGGACUUGUAUUAAUUAGGAGUUCUAAAAAAAAAAAAAAA
rnacentral:sRNA from 1 species